UGUAACUAUCCAAGAUGUAACAUAAAUUUUCGUAUCUUUUAUCGUUUUGUUUAUGGUGUUAAUUCUUGCUUCAUCAACUGGCGCCAUCUAUGAAAAAUUGAGCUAAGGAGUGGCUCCAAUUUUAGGUUCUUUCCGAUUCCCAGAAUCUAAUCUCAUCUUCUCAGGAUGGCUUCCUUCGCAAAAAUGGCGUUCACCCAUUUCAGUUCCUAAUCUCCAUAGCCCCAAAAUUUCACCACCUCCAUCGGGCCUUACAGCCCUUGGCUGUUCUCCAAAAUUUCUCCAUCUUGGCACACGCUUUGCCACCGAGCCAAGCUUCGCCACAGAUCGAAAAUUCCCAAAUCAGAAAAUCAUCUCUCGAUUCUAAUGAAAAAUAUCCAGUUCUCAACAAAAAUCAUUUUCUUCAGUUGAAUCUUCAAAACAGCCAGGGUUUUGCAACAAUUUCGAGCUCAUCUCACUCGUCCUCAGUACCACAUCAUGUUCACGAAAAUCUUGCGAAAAAUAGCAGCCAUGGUGCAAUCCAAUUUUAUGGUUGAGAAAGUAGACUCCGGAGGAACAUUUUUGGAGCAAAGAUUUUGAGCAGCAACCUCGCCCUCAUCUCCAGAAGCGCGGCCUUGAGCAACGUGACUUCCUGCCAUACAUACUCGUCGACCCUCUAGUCCGAGUGCAGGGCCUUCUUCCAGCACGGGGAGCCGUGGCGCCAGUCUUGGAUCUGCGACACGAAAGACUUCUUGACCUCCUCCUCGCCAUUCCACGUCUGGCCAACACACAGCCCGAGCAAUACCAUCGGCAUUGUAGCCGUCUGUCUGUUUGGGUAUUUUUUUUAUCAUUAUCAUCAAACUUAAUUGAGAACUUGCUUGGGACACAGGGAACUUCCUUUCCUGAUUAAAUUCAUGUCUUAGCCUCAUCUUAGGGGCUGUGAUUGAUCCUUAUGGUACCAACUUCUCUGUACUAUAUGAUUUGAAUUAUUAUUAUUGAUAUAGAGAUGCACAAAGUUUGUUGAUGCUUUUAUGCACACAAGCCUCCUCAGUUAUUGGUGAACUCAAAACUCAAGCUGCCCGAGGGACCUAUCGGAUUUGUCAUUUAUGAAACUUUCUAGUGUUUAUUUUGCUGACACUAACAUGGCAUCAUCAGUUUCAGCCUCCACUGAGCAGGGGACAAGUACUUAUUCAUUUGGAGUAUCUAAGGCAGAAUCCAAGGAGUCCAAAGACAAGCAUAUUGAUGAAGGCACACUGUGCUCGAAUAUGGUUAUUUCACGGCUUUUCUUUAAUGUUAAGAACAAUUUUUAGCUUAGGAGUUCUUUACACAAUCGGAUUCAGGUUUGUAAUAUUAUUUGUCCUCAAUUCAAUGUGCUCUUUGAUGGAUGAGAUGUUGUCUCACUAUGAUAUGCCAUUUCAUAUUAUCUUCUA